rnacentral:rRNA from 1 species
UACAGAGGUCUCAAGCGUUGUUCGGAUUCAUUGGGCGUAAAGGGUGUGUAGGUGGCGCUGUAAGUCGGGUGUGAAAUUUCGGAGCUUAACUCCGAAACUGCAUUCGAUACUGCGGUGCUUGAGGACUGGAGAGGAGACUGGAAUUCAUGGUGUAGCAGUGAAAUGCGUAGAGAUCAUGAGGAAGACCAGUGGCGAAGGCGGGUCUCUGGACAGUUCCUGACACUGAGACACGAAGGCCAGGAGAGCAAACGGG